UCACCUAUGUGACAACAUAUGGGCAACAAAUACGAAGAAGAAAGGGAACAAAGAUGGAAAUUGUGCAGGAUCCCAACCUUUAAAACACCGAUAAGAAGUGAAGUCCUUCUCCUUCCUCUUCCCCUUCAAGGAGCACUGAAUAAGCUUCCAGGAUGGACUAAGCCUAACGGAGCCCAUGCCCCCAUGUGUCUCUGUCCACUGGGAUGAGCUGAUCCUAACCUGUGUUGGCACUUGUCUCUGCCGCCCGUUGUUAGCAAGAAAAGAGUUGGACCAAAGUCACAGUAAGAACAUUCCUGGCUUGGAAGAUCAGAACUCCAGAGAUUCAACUCCUGAGGCAGAGAUUCUCCCUGGAUGUUGCUGCGUGGGCUGAGAUUUCUGAAAGAAGAGAUUACCAGUUGUGAUGAUCUGUUCCAGAACAGGUAUCUGUAUACAUUUGCAAGGUUUCUCUGAGCCUUCUCUUCUCCAGACUGAACAGCCCCAGCUCUCUCAGCUUUUCCUCACAGGGAGAGUUCCAUGCAUUCCAGGAGCAUUAUCACAUUAAGGACAACCCUCACUCCUUGUCUUCCCUUCCUGUCAUUCCUAUAGAGCCUGCAUCCCUCCCUUGCAACACUCCACUCCUGGGAGACAUCCACCAUGCCUCCAUGAUCCCAAGAAGAUAAUAGCUCUGCAAACUGAAUUCAGAUCUCUAACACGCCAUGUUUGUUCCCCAUACUAACUGCAUUAGCACAUGGGCAGCACCAGUUCUGCAGCCAAUUAUUAACUUGUUCUAUUAGUGCCCUUCUCCUCACACCAUUUCCCCUCAGUGGCAGAAUUGAGGAGACCAGCUGGGUCCUCAUGGCCUUGACAACUGCCUACAGAGUUUUGUGGUCACUUUUGAUACUUUUAUGACUCUCAGUAAUUUUGUGGUCAUGACUUCAAUCUUUCCGUCUUUCCCUCUGUAUGGAUCUCACUUAUCUGUUGUGUUGGAUAUGGCAAUCGUUGUAAAAGUAACUUAUUUUUAAAAACUAAUGUCUUUUCCCUUGAUGUUAAAUCCAAGGUCAAGAGCAGAUUAUGAUCUAUAGAGAGCAUUUUUAGUCUUAAAUUGGAGUUUCUUGGAAAUACUUGGCAACUUCUUGCUUUAUAGUUUAGCAAUUUGUGGCAAAGCCAUUUCUACCAACAUUUCAAUUUUACACAGGUCAUCAUUGUAAGUACAGGGAGAAACCAUCAGUGUGACAACUUCCCAAAAUCCUUCUGUGUAAUCCAAUGAAAAAUGUUAAUUAGUCUUGCAAAGUCUAAUUCCUUUUAUAGUAUAAUUUUCAAGCUUCACAACCUAGUGCUUUAUACUUUCAACUAACGCUUCUGUGGUACUUUAAAGUAUGUUAGGAUGAGGGAGCUGCCUAUAAAAAUCUUUUCUCAUGCACCCUAUUAUACUUCUACUUUUAAGUUGUCAAAGUUA